rfam:Oryza meridionalis cultivar OR44 (W2112) chromosome 1, whole genome shotgun sequence.
AAAAAACCAAAUCCUGAGUUUCCGUGUCCAACGUUUGACUGUCCGUCUUAUUUAAAAAAAAUUAAAAAGACAAGUCACGGAUAAAGUAUAAAUCAUGUUUUAUCAUCUAACAACAAUAAAAAUACUAAUUAUAAAAAAUUUUCAUAUAAGACGGACAGUCAAACGUUAGCACGGAAACCCACGGUUUGCUUUUUU